rnacentral:rRNA from 1 species
UACGAAGGGGGCUAGCGUUGCUCGGAAUCACUGGGCGUAAAGCGCACGUAGGCGGGUCGUUAAGUCAGGGGUGAAAUCUGGAGCUCAACUCCAGAACUGCCCUUGAUACUGGCGAUCUCGAGUUCGGGAGAGGUGAGUGGAACUGCGAGUGUAGAGGUGAAAUUCGUAGAUAUUCGCAAGAACACCAGUGGCGAAGGCGGCUCACUGGCCCGAUACUGACGCUGAGGUGCGAAAGCGUGGGGAGCAAACAGG